GUACUGGUCAUCUAGUGGUAGGAUAGCAGUUCUUCACGCUGCGCACGCAGGUUCGAUUCCUGUCCAGUAUA
rnacentral:tRNA from 2 species